GUGCUAGUAAAAAGGAGAGCUAGUUUUCUUCUCCCUCUACAAGGAUGGAAUCAUAUUUUCU
rnacentral:ncRNA from 1 species